rnacentral:lncRNA from 1 species
GUUUGGUAUCACAAAUGUCUACUUUUAACUCAGGAAUAGAUGUCUUUCUAAAGUCUUUGUGCUAAUCGAAUUGCAAGCUUUUGCCUAUGAAAAAAGGAUUAUUAACAUUCUGGGAUCUGUAUGCUUCAGAGAGCACAUCGGAUGUCCAUAUUAGUUUUUUCUGGCCUUAUAAUCCUGGCUUUGUUUACGUUUUCAGAAGAAGCUUGUGUGAACUCAUGACUGAAAUGAAACUUGCCCAUUUUGAAUCAUGUUUUCAUGCCUGCAAGCAAGACUCAGAGAUGGAGGACAAGAAUUUUCUAAAAGCAUAUUCAAGAAAGGAUGAAGCCAAAAUACUUUUGCAUCUAAAAUCAAGACUGAAGUGCUGAAGGUUCCAGCGGUGUCAAGAGAGAUGCAUUUACGUAUGGC